AUCAGAGAUGGGGACGGUGGCUCCGAGGGUUUAACGACUUCGUUGUUGCGGAAACCAUUUUUAUCGCAUUGGUUUGAACCGGGUAAAAGUCGUAACAAGGUAGCUGUAGGUGAACCUGCAGCUGGAUCAUCG
rnacentral:rRNA from 1 species